rnacentral:lncRNA from 1 species
GCUGUAUUCUUUAAGUUUUUGUUUGUUGGGAAAAAUUUUUAUUUCCCCUUCUAUUUUAAAUGAUAUUCUUGCUGGAUAGAGUAUUCUAGGUUGCAUAUUUUUUCCUUUUAGCACUUUAAAUAUCUCUUGCCAUUCCCUCCUGGCCUGUAGUGUUUUUGUAGAGAAAUCAGCUGAUAUUCUUAUGGGGGUUCCCUUGUAGGUAACAUUCUGUUUUUCUCUUGCUGCCUUGAGGAUCCUCUCUUUAUCACUAACUUUUGCCAUUUUUAUUAUGAUGUGUCUUGGUGUGGGUCUGUUUGGGUUCAGUUUGUUUGGGGCCCUCUGUGCUUCUUGUAUCUUGAAUCCAGUAUCCUUUAGAUUUGGGAAGUUUCCAGCAAUAAUUUCUUCAAAUAUAUUUUCCAUUCCCUUAUCUUUUUCUACUCCUUCUGGAAUUCCUAUUGUGCGUAGAUUGGCCCGCUUUAUAUUAUCCCAUAGGUCUCUUAUAUUGCUUUCCAGUUUUUUGAUUCGGUUUUCUGUCUGUUGACCAGAUUGAGUGAUUUCCAUUAUUCUAUCUUCCAUAUCACUGAUUCGUUCUUCUGCAUUAUUCAUUCUGUUUUUUACUGCCCCUAGUUCAGUUUGCAUCUCUGCAAAUGAAUGUUCUAGUUUUUCUUGGCUCCUCCUUAUAUUUUCUAGUUCCUUUCUGAGGGUAUCUGCAUUACUGUUCAUAUCUUCUCUUAAUUCCUUCAGUAUUUUCAGUAUUUCUCUUUUGAACUCCAGGUCUGUCUGACUGCAGAGAUCUGUUUCAUUGCUGACUGUUUUAGGUGAGUUCUCCUGUUGGUUUGACUGGGGGUGGUUUCUCAGCUUCUUCAUCUUGCUUGUUGUUUUCUUUCUCCUGAGGGAGUUGUACUCUCCGUUAUUGGGCAGUGUUUGCCUUGUCACUGCCGUGGAAUAUUUCCUGAGGGCUGGCGUUGUUGGUCAAUCGUUUUUGAGGCAGUGUGGCUUUUCUGGAGUGUUGAUGGGACUAACAGUGUUUCUUUGAAGCAAAGGAGGACUUCCUGAGGGCAGACAGGACUGGAAGGUCCACACCACGAUGGUAGCAGAUUUCACUUGGUCAUGCAGAGCUUGCUCUGGUGUUUUUAGGCUGUGGGGUUCUUGCAGCGGGUUGGCGGUGUUGGGCAGCUGUUCCUCAGGAGUGCAGCACCCCCUCGGGGCUGGAGCAGCUAUCUGGGUCACUGAGAACCUAAGAGGCUCUUCCCUAGGGCAGCCCAACUCAGAAGGACAGCCUGAGAAUGUAGGCGGAUCUUUUCACAGUCUGGCCGAGCUUGUUGCAGCUUUUCUGGGCUGCAGGGGCUCUUCCAGGGGGCUGGUGGUGCUGAGCAGCUAUUCCGCGGGAGUGGGGCACCCCCUGGGGGCUUGGGUGAGUAGCAGGGCCACUGGAAACCCAAGAGGCUCCUCCCCAGGGCAGCCCGACUCAGAAAGACCGUCUGAGAUCUUUUCCCGACUCGGCCAGGCUUGUUGCAGCUUUUCUGGGCUGCAGGGGGUCCUUCCUGGAGCUGGCAGUCCUAUGCAGCUGAUCCACUAGGGCAUUCCCUGGGGGCUUGGGCGGGUAGCAGGGCCGUUGGAGACCCAGGAGGCUCCUCCCCGGGGCAGCCCGACUCAGAAAGACCGUCUGAGAUCUUUUCCCGACUCGGCCAGGCUUGUUGCAGCUUUUCUGGGCUGCAGGGGGUCCUGCCUGGAGCUGGAAGUCCUAUGCAGCUGAUCCACUAGGGCACCCCCUGGGGGCUUGGGCGGGUAGCAGGACCGUUGGAAACCCAAGAGGCUCCUCUCCGGGGCAGCCCGACUCAGAAAAACCAUCCGAGAAUUAAGCAGAUCUAUUCACGGCCUGGCUAGGCUUGUUCUAGCUUUUCUGGGCUGCAGGCCUUUUCUCGGGGGCUGGUGGUGUUUGGUGCUGCUCUGCGGAAGUGUAGCCCCUCCAAAGGGCAAGCAGGCCUGUGCAGGGACAGCCCCUACGGUGGUAGGCUUCAGGCAAUUGUUGAGGCCAGCCCUCCUGGAUGGCAGGCAGCCCCAGGUCUGGUGAGAGCGUAGGGGGUAGCGGGGGUGUGGGGAGGGGAUGCAUUGGGAAGCACAGCUUUCUGCUAGCUAGCGGGCCUGUAAGCUUGCUGUGGCAUGGGGUGUAUUCUAUGGGGACCCACCCCUUCUUCUCUCCCCUCCCCAGCACGGGCGCAGACCAGGCUCUUCUCCCAGGUUCCCUCUGAUGCGGCUUUCCACUUCCCCACUCCUAGAGUAUUGUUCCCUUCCUCUGCGACAGCUUUGUUUUCUAGUCUCCCAGGCAGUCUCUGCCCCGUCAAAUGGUUUCUAGACCUCCCAAGCAGUUUCCGCUCUGCCCCGCCCCCCCAGCCGGGUGACUAACCUCUGGAGCCGAGGUCUCGGUGCCCAGCCCCCACCCAGGCGUCUCAAUUUUUGGUGACUGUACCCGUAGUUCAGAUGGUCCAUUGGUUUCUUGAUCGGCUUUUCCGUACUCCAACUUACUGCUACACUUUUCUCUGCAUCUGGAGAUUCCUCCGGUUUGUUUGAUCUUUCCCCCGGUAGGUGACUUUCCAGGGUGUGGGAUCCCUUUCUCCUCCGCAGUUCCCUUUCGGGAGCACCCAUCCCGCUCAGAUUCACCUUCUCUCACUCUCCUCUUUUCUCCCGUUCUGCCCAGUAAUUUCACGAACUUCUUGCCGUUAUUGGAGUUUAGGUUCCUCUGCCAGCGAUUGGUUGCUGUUCUGUGUGAGUCGUUUAUUCUGUAGAUGUGCUUUUUUUGUUGUGUUUGUGGGAGAGGGCGAGCGUGUCCCCCUACUCCUCCGCCAUCUUGUCCUCUCUGCCAAUUCAAAUCAUUUUUAAAGAUAGUUUAUUUGAAUCAAGGUACAAAUGAAGUCCAUACAUUACAAUUGAUUGAUCUGGGUUUUUUAAAUUGUGGUAAAAACCACAAAAUUUAUUAUCCUAACCAUGCUUCAGUGUAUGGAAUAGUAGUAACUAUGCUGUUGCACUUUGUUGCACAACAGAUUUCUAGAACUUUUUCAUCUUGCAAAAUCGAAACCCUGUACCCAUUGAACAACUCACCCUCUUACCCUCCUUCAGCUCUGGUAUCCACUAUUCUAUUUUCUCUUUCUAAGAGUUUGCUUCACAUUCCUCAUAUGGGUAGAAUUAUGCAGUGUUUGUCUUUUUGUGGCUGGUUUAUUUCACUUAGCAUAAUGUCCUCAAGAGUCACCCUUGUUGUAGUCUAUGGCAGGGUUCCCUUCCUUUUUUUAAAUGAUUUCCUUCUUUUUAAAGGUUGGAUACUAUUCCAUUGUAUGCAUAUACUACUUUCUCUUUAUCCACUCAUCCACUGAUGGAUGCUUAGAUUAUUCUUCCCUCUUGGCUAUUGUGAAUAAUACUGCAGUGAACGCGGUGUGCAAAUAUCUCACGAUCCCAUUUUUCAAUUCUUUUGGAUAUAUACCCCAGACGUGGAAUUGCUAGAUCAUGCAGUAAUUCUCCCCAAUUUUUUGAGGAAACUCCAUACAGUUUUCCAUAGCAGCUAUACCAUCUUACAUUCCCACCAACACUGCACAAGAAUUCCACUUUAUCCACCUCCUUGCCAAAACUUGUUAUUUUUCAGUUUUUUGUUUUUAUUAUGACCAUCCUAAUGGGCAGGAAGUAGUAUUUCAUUGUAGUUUUUAAUUGCAUUUCCUUGAUGAUUAGUGAUGUUGAGCAUCUUUUCAUAUGCACAUGAUCAUUUGUAUAAAUUCUUUGGAAAAAGGUCUAUUCAAGUACUUUUUAAAAAUCAGGUUAUUUGAUGUUUUUGUUGAGUUGUAGAAGUUCUUUAUAUAUUAAUCCCUUACCAGAUAAAUAGUUUGCAAAUAUUUUCUCCCAUUUUGUAGGUUGCCUUUUCACGUUGUUGUUUCCUUUGCUGCAUAAGAAGUUUAGGCUUAGGAGUUCCCAUUGUGGCUCAGCGGAAGAGAAUCUGAUUAGCAUCCACGAGGACGCAGGUUUGAUCCCUGGCCUUGCUUAGUGGGUUAAGGAUCCGGCAUUGCUGCGAGCUGUGGUGUAGGUUGCAGAUGCAGCUUGGAUCCUGCAUUGCUGUGACUGUGGUGUAGGCCAGAAGCUAUAGCUCUGAUUCGACCCCCAGCCUGGGAAUCUCCAUGUGCUACAGGUGUGGCCCUGAAAAGACAAAAGACCAAAAAAAAAAAAAAAAA